AAGGCAGCAGGCGCGCAAAUUACCCACUCCCAGCACGGGGAGGUAGUGACGAAAAAUAACGAUACGGGACUCAUCCGAGGCCCCGUAAUCGGAAUGAGUACAAUUUAAAACUUUUCCCGAGGAUCAAUUGGAGGGUAAGUCUGGUGCCAGCAGCCGCGGUAAUUCCAGCUCCAAUAGCGUAUAUUAAAGUUGUUGCGGUUAAAAAGCUCGUAGUCGAAUCUGUGUCCCGCGCCGCUGGUUCAUCGCUCGCGGUGUUUAACUGGCGUGUCUCGCGGGACGUCCUGCCGGUGGGCGCUCGUGUCGUUUCGGCGGUGUGAGGCCCUACUCGUAGCCGCUUCGCGCGGUUGCGAAUCCCAUCGCGGUGCUCUUUAUUGAGUGUCGAGGUGGGCCGGCACGUUUACUUUGAACAAAUUAGAGUGCUUAAAGCAGGCCAAUUUUGCCUGAAUAUUGUGUGCAUGGAAUAAUGGAAUAGGACCUCGGUUCUAUUUUGUUGGUUUUCGGAACCCCGAGGUAAUGAUUAAUAGGAACGGAUGGGGGCAUUCGUAUUGCGACGUUAGAGGUGAAAUUCUUGGAUCGUCGCAAGACGGACAGAAGCGAAAGCAUUUGCCAAAAACGCUUUCAUUGAUCAAGAACGAAAGUUAGAGGUUCGAAGGCGAUCAGAUACCGCCCUAGUUCUAACCAUAAACGAUGCCAGCUAGCGAUCCGCCGACGUUCCUCCGAUGACUCGGCGGGCAGCUUCCGGGAAACCAAAGCUUUUGGGUUCCGGGGGAAGUAUGGUUGCAAAGCUGAAACUUAAAGGAAUUGACGGAAGGGCACCACCAGGAGUGGAGCCUGCGGCUUAAUUUGACUCAACACGGGACACCUCACCAGGCCCGGACACCGGAAGGAUUGACAGAUUGAUAGCUCUUUCUUGAUUCGGUGGGUGGUGGUGCAUGGCCGUUCUUAGUUGGUGGAGCGAUUUGUCUGG
rnacentral:rRNA from 1 species